UGGUGUAGCUCAGUUGGUAGAGCAAUUGAUUUGUAAUCAAUCGGUCGGGGGUUCAAGUCCCUCCACC
rnacentral:tRNA from 1 species